rnacentral:tRNA from 1 species
GGAUGCCGGAGGUUAAAACCCCCCUAACGCU